rnacentral:rRNA from 1 species
AGAGUUUGAUCCUGGCUCAGGACGAACGCUGGCGGCGUGCCUAACACAUGCAAGUCGAACGGAACUGUUUUGAAAGAUUUCUUCGGAAUGAAUUUGAUUUAGUUUAGUGGCGGACGGGUGAGUAACGCGUGAGUAACCUGCCUUCAAGAGGGGGAUAACAUUCUGAAAAGGAUGCUAAUACCGCAUGACAUAUCGGAACCACAUGGUUUUGAUAUCAAAGAUUUUAUCGCUUGAAGAUGGACUCGCGUCCGAUUAGUUAGUUGGUGAGGUAACGGCUCACCAAGACCGCGAUCGGUAGCCGGACUGAGAGGUUGAACGGCCACAUUGGGACUGAGACACGGCCCAGACUCCUACGGGAGGCAGCAGUGGGGGAUAUUGCGCAAUGGGGGCAACCCUGACGCAGCAACGCCGCGUGAAGGAUGAAGGUUUUCGGAUUGUAAACUUCUUUUAUUAAGGACGAAACUUGACGGUACUUAAUGAAUAAGCUCCGGCUAACUACGUGCCAGCAGCCGCGGUAAUACGUAGGGAGCAAGCGUUGUCCGGAUUUACUGGGUGUAAAGGGUGCGUAGGCGGCUUUGCAAGUCAGAUGUGAAAUCUAUGGGCUCAACCCAUAAACUGCAUUUGAAACUGUAGAGCUUGAGUGAAGUAGAGGCAGGCGGAAUUCCCCGUGUAGCGGUGAAAUGCGUAGAGAUGGGGAGGAACACCAGUGGCGAAGGCGGCCUGCUGGGCUUUAACUGACGCUGAGGCACGAAAGCGUGGGUAGCAAACAGGAUUAGAUACCCUGGUAGUCCACGCUGUAAACGAUGAUUACUAGGU